UACGGAGGGUGCAAGCGUUAUCCGGAUUCACUGGGUUUAAAGGGUGCGUAGGAGGGCAGGGAAGUCAGUGGUGAAAUCUCCGGGCUUAACUCGGAAACUGCCGUUGAUACUCUCUGUCUUGAAUACCGUGGAGGUGAGCGGAAUAUGUCAUGUAGCGGUGAAAUGCUUAGAUAUGACAUAGAACACCAAUUGCGAAGGCAGCUCGCUACACGAAUAUUGACUCUGAGGCACGAAAGCGUGAGGAUCAAACAGG
rnacentral:rRNA from 1 species